CAACGCCUGCAGCAAAGAAAAAACGUCAAACGAAUAUUAUUGGUUUACAAAAAGGUAAGACGAUCAGAUUAGUAGGAAUGCUUAUAUUAACUAACAUUUCUUCGUCUUUGUGAAAGUUCCACCCACAUGUUUGUUCUUUGUGAAACUACAAAGGUCGUUUUUGUUUUGUUCUUUGUAAGUUGUAACCAGUCCAAAACGCAGCGUUUCCAUGGAACGUUAAAUUGUUUUAGGAGUGUUUUUUUGUUAACGUUUCUACAAACGGAGUGUUAGAUUUGAUAACGGAAUUUAGUUGGGGGUUUAAAUCGUAAAACAAAAAGGAAUAGUUGAGGGUUUUUGUAAUAAAUUGGCUGGAGAAUUUUUGUCUAAUUCGUUAGACGAUACCAAAAAGGGAAGACUCAGCUUUUUCUAUAGAAUCGAAUCAUCGAAGAGUAACCACCCUUAGAACGAGCCCGAGAAGAAGAAGAAGAAGAGAGAUGGGAGGCAAGGAGGGUGCGAUUGGGCGAUGCUUCAUCAAGUUUGCAAAUAAGUUCUACCAGCAUGUCGAUUGUAAAAUGUUUAGUUGUGCCGUAACACUUGUCGCCGGAUAUUCUUACGGCGACAUCACGGGUGUUGUUGUCAAGGAUUGGGACACGAAAGAAAGGCUUGAGCUAGAAAGGAAAGAUCUUGAAAGACAGAUCCAAGAGUACGAAGCUGAAGCCAGAGAACUAGAGAAGUGUUCAAGUAGAUAGAUAGAAAAGCAAAGGAGCGCCCUUCCUUCCUUUUAUGUACUUAGCAACCCUAGCCCGCCGUCCUUUAAAGAUCCCCUGUCUUUUUACUACGUUGUGAGAUUGAUUGAUCGAUAGGUUGAGUUCUGAUCAGAACAGCGGUUUUGAUGUUAUUGUUUUCUGCCUUUUGUAAGUGCUUUUUGACUCUUACCAUAGAGUAGAAAUGUCUUUGGUUUUUUUUUUUCUUGUUCUUUUGAUAGAUAAGCUCGAUGAGGAACAUGUUCUUAGCAGAACCCCGACACGGCCUUGUCUUUUCAAAGGCAAUUACAAUGACAGAAUGGUUAUCUCUAUUCGAUGGCUUGCCGCUCUUGAACGAGAACUUGUUCAAAAAAGAAGCCGAAACUACAAAGGUCGACCAGAUAGAUAUAAGGGGCUUAUGGUGUAUGGCUAGAUGCCCAACGGAAACUUAUCUAGUCUGCUCCAAGGAGCUUCCCAUCAAUGUCCUAAACUGGCCAAUGCGCCUCCUCCAUCAAUCCAACAUGACUAGAAUUAUCCAAGCAUUCGUGCAUUAUCCAUUAAUAUUGGCCUUAAGGAAGGGAUCAGACAAAAGUAGCUAGACACGAAUGAAAAGCAUACUCGGAAUGGAAUUCAGACAAGGGUAUAGGACGGGCACAUCCAUCAAGCUAGCUAGUUAAGAAGUUUACAAAAGACACAACAAGCCAUAGAGAUAAAUUACAAAUACUGCUAAACUGGGUUGGAGAUUUGCAUCUUCUUAGCAAGCAACGCUUCCUUCUUCUUCUCCAGCUCCUGCCGCUUGGCAGACAAGUCCUGAAACCAUGAGUUGGAAGAUGCAUUAAACUCAUAUAAAACCCAAAGCAAACCUCAAAUCUUGUUUCUAUAUUUAAUUUACCUCUAUCUCGGAAUCAUACUUUUCUGGAUUGUAUGGGGAGUUAUAUGUAGCUGGGAAGAAAGAAGAAGUAUAUAAUUAGUGGGUUCUUCUUGUUGAAUCUCAAAAAUGAAUCAAUAAAAUAGAUAUCAUCCUCCGCACAACACAC